ensembl:lncRNA
GAAUUGUUUCCCUUCAGAACUGCCUCAUUUCUCUGUGGUACAGACUUAACAAAUUGCUGGAAAGAUUUUGGUCCAUAUUGACAUGAUAACAUGACACAGUUGCUGCAGAUGUGUCAGUUGCCAGAUGUGCUCAAUGUCAUGAUCAAGACACCAUUUUGAGAUGAUCUAAGCUUUGUGACAUAACAUCCUGCGGGAAGCAGCCGUGGUCAUUAUAGGGUGGACGUGGUCAGAGGCAAAACUGUGGCAUUUAAACAUUGCACCACCAGCAGCCUCAACUUUUGAGUCCAUGCAGGUUGAGUCCAUGCUUCCAUGUGUUUCAUGCUUUCAUGUUUCUGACAGUACCAUUAGGAUGUUGCAGUACAGUGCUGCUGUAAACCAUCUGCUUUAAGGGCUGUCAUAUUGUGCCUUCAGAGAUGCUCUUUUGCAUGCCUUGGUUGCAACAAGUGGUUAUUUGAGUUACUGUUGCCUUCCAACAGCUCAAACCACUCAUUCUCCUCUGACAUCUGAGAUCAACAAGAUGUUUUUGUUACCCAGGAGUUUUUUUUUUUGUUUUUGUUUUUUUUUGUUGUUGUUUUUUUCUCUCUUCCCCCCCUUCUCACCGUCUCUUCUCCCCUUUGGUUUUCUUUCUUUCUCUCCCCCUCUUUCUUUCAUUCUUUCCCCCUGUCCUAUCCCACAGUUAUGUCUGUCCCGUUUGCAACUGAAAAUAAAAUAAAUUCAUAAUUAUAAUAAAGGUCAAUCAAAUGGACCAAUAUGGCAAGGCCAUGAUGAUCCACUUGGUAAAAUAAAUCCGCUUGGCAUCUUUCUUGGCCUCAAGACAACAAUUCUGAUGGCUAUAGAUCCAAACGGGACACACACAAAAAAAAAGAUGUUUUUGUUCAAAGAACGUCUGCUUACUGGGUAUUUUCUCUUCAUUUUGAACCAUUAUCUGCAUUACAUCAGCAUUUUCUGAACUACAGUCCAGCCCGUCUGGAUUUAAAUCACUUUUCUUGCCCGUUCAGAUGCUCUGAAUUUCAGGAGGUCUUAACGACUCCUUGAUGUUAACGUCCCUAAAUGCACUGAGCAACUGCAAUGUGAUUAGCAGGUUAGAUAUUUGCAUUAACAAG